GAUGAACGCUGGCGGCGUGCCUAAUACAUGCAAGUCGAGCGAAUGGAUUAAGAGCUUGCUCUUAUGAAGUUAGCGGCGGACGGGUGAGUAACACGUGGGUAACCUGCCCAUAAGACUGGGAUAACUCCGGGAAACCGGGGCUAAUACCGGAUAACAUUUUGAACCGCAUGGUUCGAAAUUGAAAGGCGGCUUCGGCUGUCACUUAUGGAUGGACCCGCGUCGCAUUAGCUAGUUGGUGAGGUAACGGCUCACCAAGGCAACGAUGCGUAGCCGACCUGAGGAGGUGUGCGGCCAAACUGGGACUGGGACACGGCCCAGACUCCUACGGGAGGCAGCAGUAGGGAAUCUUCCGCAAUGGACGAAAGUCUGACGGAGCUACGCCGCGUGAGUGAUGAAGGCUUUCGGGUCGUAAAACUCUGUUGUUAGGGAAGAACAAGUGCUAGUUGAAUAAGCUGGCACCUUGACGGUACCUAACCAGAAAGCCACGGCUAACUACGUGCCAGCCGCCGCAGUAA
rnacentral:rRNA from 1 species